CAGUACAAAAUGGUAGAAAUUUUGGAUUUACCUGACACAAGAAUAGAUCAGAAUUUUGCUGAGCUGUCCUCAUUCAUUGAAAAGGGACUGGAGGAUGGAAAGGUUUUGGUUCAUUGAGCCCCUCCAAUGCGAUUCAAUGUUUCUAUGGUAACUGCUAUGCAGAAUCUGUUCAAGUUUUGAGGGAAUCAGGAAAAGUAACAGGUCUUCUGUUUAAACUUGUGGGAGAAGGAAACAGCUUCGGUACAUUACCAGACCUGAAUAAAAAAGUUGUUGAAAGAACGGUUUCAUUUGGAGACACGUGUCAGGAUGUCAUGACGUGUUUUGGUUCACCUUGUAAAGUAUUUUAUAAAGCUGAAGAUAAGAUGCGUAUCCAUUCUCCCUAUACAUACAAACUUAAUUAAUCAAAUAGAUCCUUCUAUUUCUUCAACUAAUUUUACACUUGGCGUGGGCGAACUCGAUGUUAAAUUCGAGACUAGUGGACAAAAUUUCUCUUGGUAUUGUGGAAGCUCGAGAGGAGAAGUGGUUUUGGACAAACCGGCAAAUAAAGCACGAGUGUAUUAUCGAAAAAAUGAAGACGUAGAAAUAUUCAUUGAAGAUUGUCCCCAGGUUAAGUCUAGAAAAUUCAGUGUGACAGCUGGUAAAAG